rnacentral:rRNA from 1 species
UACGGAGGGUGCGAGCGUUGUCCGGAAUCAUUGGGCGUAAAGAGCGUGUAGGCGGCCGCUUAAGUCCUGCGUGAAAUCUCGGAGCUCAACUCCGAGCGGUCGUGGGAAACUGGGCGGCUAGAGUGCGGGAGAGGAGAGUGGAAUUCCUGGUGUAGCGGUGGAAUGCGCAGAUAUCAGGAAGAACACCCGUGGCGAAGGCGGCUCUCUGGAACGCAACUGACGCUGAGACGCGAAAGCGUGGGGAGCAAACAGG